GCCAUGUUCAUUUUCAGUCUUGUUCCAGGAUUUACAGCAGGUACACCUGUGCCUUUUCUUGACAGUGAAGUUUUAAAUAUAGGAAAUCCUCAGUCAUCACUUUGCCACUUUGAGGGGAGGUGCGUAGUACAGGACCGCAUCUCGAGGGCUCCCUGCGUGUGUGCUCUGUGCUUCAGGAUAUGGGCACCUGGAGACUGAAGACUUGGAGGAGAGAUGCAAGAUGUGAUUUCAAAGCAUCAAAAAAAGAAUGCUGAUUUCACCAAUGAAGUGGCUAAUCAUAAGAGCUCAGAAGCAGACAUUUCAAAGUGUCUCAGACCUAAAAGGAAAAGAAGGCCUUGGAAUGUUCAGAAGAGGCUUCUGACUGGCCUGGAACCAAUCCCUUAGGCCCUGAGGGAGGACGAUUCUGUAUCAGCCAUAUAAAUGUUAGAUUUUAUUGCAUAUCUGUAUGGUUAGUAAAAUUGAUUUCAAAAAGUAUAUUUAAGUACUUUUAUAAAAUAAUACAUAUCUAUGGUUAGAAAAAUCACACUGUAGAUUUAGCUUGCUUAACAUUGUUGGUGCGCCUGCCAAUAUACACUUUUGUUCACUACUUUUAGAUCUUUAAGAUAACCUUUGUCACUUGAAUAAUAUGCUUAUGCUUUUAUUUGUUGUUUCAACUUCUAUAAAUGGCAUCUUUUAACACUCUAACUUAUAAAUGGGACUAUUACCUUUGUUAUCCUUAUUUUUACCUCUUCUUUCCCCUUCUACCUCUUUCAUCAGUUCUUUUGCAUUUUAAUUGUUAGGGUCAAACUGAGAUAUAAAAGGGGAGAGGAGGAGACCAUCAGAUGAAGUCAGGAACGAAGUUUUAAAGAAAAUAUGAUUUUUUCAAACAGUGUAUUUUCUCUGGCUUUUACUUCUUCGAUUGUCUACCUCGGGGCUUUCAAACUUUGCUGUGUGUGUAUAAGAAUUAGCUGGAG
rnacentral:lncRNA from 1 species